CUUGGAGCAGGAACAAUUACCUCUGUUUUUGAACUAGGGUUUAGCACCUCCAUCAACUCAAUGAAAUAUGCUAACCGUUUACGCUGUAAACAUGGUAAAGGAAGCUUAAUAAGCUAACUGGAGUUCCACCAUAGUUCCUCAUACAUGUAACAAACAAAUUAUAGCUUUCAGUAAAGAUAUCAGGUUCAUUUUUUAUUGAAACUCAAGCAUCUUGUGAACAUUUGGAUGGAGACGCAGCUUGAGUCAAUCAUUUGAGAGCAAAAUAAUACCUGAUGAUGCCCAUAAAUAUAAUCUUCAGCCAGGCGGACAGCAGUUGAUCCCAAGCCCCAGCGUACAACAUUCACUGUUGGACUUAUACGCCAUUUAGGUCCGCAAAGGAAGGGGUGACGCAGUGCAUCGACACAACUGUAAAUUA
rnacentral:lncRNA from 1 species